rnacentral:rRNA from 1 species
UACAGAGGGGGCAAGCGUUGUUCGGAAUUACUGGGCGUAAAGGGCGCGUAGGCGGCCUGCUAAGUCGAACGUGAAAUCCCCGGGCUCAACCCGGGAACUGCGUCCGAUACUGGCAGGCUUGAAUUCGGGAGAGGGAUGCGGAAUUCCAGGUGUAGCGGUGAAAUGCGUAGAUAUCAGGAAGAACACCUAUGGCGAAGGCAGCACUCUGGGACGGUACUGACGCUGAGACGCGAAAGCGUGGGGAGCGAACAGG